rnacentral:lncRNA from 1 species
GGACAGUGUGGUAGAGGAGAAAGAGCUCUGGGAUUAGAAUCCAAAAUACCAGCUCCCCACUGAACUGCUGUGUGACUUUCUCCAGUCUACUUCCUUUUCUGAAAGUUAAGAGUGAUGAUACAUAUCCUACCAACCACUCUGAGUGGUUCAGUUCACAUGAGAAGUGAAAGUGCUUUGUGAAUUGGUUUUCCACAGGACUGGGCCCUGUUUGAGGGGUGGAAACAGGAGGUUGGUAGAGAGACCUGCCCAAGGUGACUGAAGAAAGGAUGGGGAGUCAUCACGUGAGGACAGGGAUUUGAGGGCAGGCAGCUCCCGCACAGCAGGCGGGCUCCAGAGGCAACUCAUGGAGUGUUGCACUUCUUUGUUUAUUUAUUUUUUCCUUAUUGCUAUUAAUCUAAAAUUGUUCACGUUUCUCUUUCAGAACACUUUUAGAUUGGAAAGAUUUUGAUCAUCUCAAAAGUCUUGGAUAUAAAAAUUCAGUCUGUGUGGCAGGGAACAGCUCACUCCUGACUGGUUGAAGAUAGGAGGUUGAAGAAAUAAAUGAACUUGAAGCAGACUUGAAGUUUCAUGCCUGAGAUCCUAAAGCCUCCCUAUUUCUGGAGACACAGUGGUAUUGAAAUUAGAUCAGCUAAUAACCCUACAAUGGCCUCUCAGUGUUCAAAUGAAAGGAAAAGUCGCACAUCUCCCACUUUAA